rnacentral:rRNA from 1 species
GACGAACGCUGGCGGCGUGCUUAACACAUGCAAGUCGAACGGAAAGGCCCGGCUUUUGUUGGGUUCUCGAGUGGCGAACGGGUGAGUAACACGUGAGUAACCUGCCCUUGACUUUGUGAUAACUUCAGGGAACUGGGGCUAAUACCGGAGAGGAUCUCCUGCUGCAUGGGGGGGGUUGGAAAAUUUCGGUGUUUGGGGAUGGUAUCGAGGGUUAUCAGCUUGUUUGUGGGGUAGUUGCUUACCAAGGCUUUGAAGGGUAGCCGGCCUGAGAGGGUGACCGGCCACCUUGGGACUGCGAUAGGGACCAGAAUCCAACGGGACGCAGCGGUGGGGAAUAUUGCACAAUGGGGGGACGCCUGAUGCAGCAACGCCGCGUGCGGGAUGACGGCCUUCGGGUUGUAAACAGCUUUCGACUGUGCCGAAGAGUGAGUGACGGUAAUGGGUAAAGAAGCACCGGCUAACUACGUG